rnacentral:tRNA from 1 species
GGCGUGGUAGCUCAGAUGGUUAGAGCGCACGACUCAUAAUCGUGAGGUCGGCGGUUCAAUUCCGCCCCACGCUACCA